rnacentral:rRNA from 1 species
CUCGUGUCGUGAGAUGUUGGUUAAGUCCCGCAACGAGCGCAACCCCUAUUGUUAGUUGCCAUCAUUCAGUUGGGCACUCUAGCGAGACUGCCGGUAAUAAACCGGAGGAAGGUGGGGAUGACGUCAAAUCAUCAUGCCCCUUAUGACCUGGGCUACACACGUGCUACAAUGGUUGGUACAACGAGUUGCGAGUCGGUGACGGCGAGCUAAUCUCUUAAAGCCAAUCUCAGUUCGGAUUGUAGGCUGCAACUCGCCUACAUGAAGUCGGAAUCGCUAGUAAUCGCGGAUCAGCACGCCGCGGUGAAUACGUUCCCGGGCCUU